rnacentral:misc_RNA from 1 species
UGGUUCUGGCAUCGAUGAAGAACGCAGCGAAAUGCGAUAAGUAAUGUGAAUUGCAGAAUUCAGUGAAUCAUCGAAUCUUUGAACGCACAUUGCGCCCGCCAGUAUUCUGGCGGGCAUGCCUGUCCGAGCGUCAUUUCAACCCUCAGGCCUCCGUUCCGGAGGACUGGUGUUGGAGACCGGCCCCACUCGCGGGGGCCGCCUCCGAAAUACAGUGGCGGUCUCGCCGCAGCCUCCCCUGCGUAGUAGCACACCUCGCACCGGAGAGCGGCGCGGCCAUGCCGUAAAACCCCCCACUAUUCUAAGGUUGACCUCGGAUCAGGUAGGAAUACCCGCUGA